CGCAUGCCCAGAAGGAGCACGUGAAUUAAAAUGGCUGACGUUAAAGAGAAUGGGGAAAGUGAAUCAAGAAAGAGAAGAAGAAGAUUUGAUUCAGGAGUGGAUGAAAGUGAGAUAGUUUUCUAGAAAAUUUGAUGGUUGAAA